rnacentral:tRNA from 1 species
GGUCGGGUGGCGCAAUGGUAGCGUGUGGUCCUCCUAAUAAGAAGGUUCCAGACUGAGGUUGUGGGUUCGAGUCCCAUCUCGAUCG